rnacentral:misc_RNA from 1 species
CGCUUACAGAAGAAGCUAGAUGUUGUGGCAUCAAUCAUGAAAGUGGCAUUAGAUUGUUGUGCUGAAUCUCCGGCAACAAGGACAAACAUGAAAGAUGUUGUAGGGAUGCUAGAGAAGAUCAUGAUUCAACUUCUUGCACGCUGAGCAUGUUAUCGGAAUCUCUUUUUCCAAAUUGAUUGCUUGUUUGUUUUAUGGGAAGAAUAUUGCUUUUUUUGUUUUAGCAUUUUG